rnacentral:pre_miRNA from 1 species
GAUGAUAGGUCUGAUCUAAAGCCCUUUGAAGUCAGUGAAAGUCUUUCCAUUUGCUUCAGUGGGCUUUGGAUCAGGCCUACAUGAC